UCGAAAAUAUUAACAAAACAGUAAACGAACCUAUAUCAUAUGACUGAAGAUGUCGCCAGUGAGGAGAUUUGAACAAAAACUCAUCACCCGUCUAGAUUCUCAUAAUCAUCAUUAAAAAGAAAUUAAACUGUUAUUAAUGAAACUAAAAUGACUCGAUACUGCUUGAGACGAAAAAAGAAGCACCUUCAAGGCUCCAAUCUCUCACGAAAAGCGAAAAAAUUUAACAUGAUAUCCUCCAGGCAUCACGAACAUCCUUACGCAACUCGUUCAAAAACCGCUGGUGAGCCUCUCCUACUAUUCAAUGGUAUCCAAAACGUCUCCAAGAAAACUACAACAGAUCCUAGUGUUACCUGCCUCGGAGCAUAUCGUAAAAUUCCACGAUUUAUUGACCUGGAAACUAACCGAGAAGAGCCCCAACGUAUUGCGCUUAUUGAAAAAUUCAAACCCAAUUUUCAAUGCAAAAUUGAAAAAGUAUUUAUUCUCCAUUUAAGAUCAAAUAUUAGAAUAAAAGUUUGAUGCGACCUGUGCUAUUAAGAGGAUCACAGAAAGCCACUAUUUCUUAAAGAAUAUCAAAUUAUUUUCCGGUGCCAAAUUAUUAAUAUUCUUGUAUAAUAACAAUCAUUAUUUUAGAUGGGCUGUCAACGCAUUGAGAGCUGACUGAGGCAGAAAUUGAUUUUUUUAACAUCAAGAAACAAUUGUGCGAGAAUUUAAAAAUUAUAUCUUAGUUGGAAAAUAUAGAGACGUUAGGAAAAGGAAUGAAAUUUCUGCCAUUCCUUCGAUUUCGGUUUUUCCGUUGUACAAAUAAUCCAAUUCCUCCCGUAAAUUAUUGUCCAAGUACCUUCUACUCUGUAGGCCUCUUAAUUUGAUUAAAUCCGCGCGGGUCAGUGGGAUUUUUUGUAGAUGUAAUUUUGAUACUUCUGAUGGGUAGAUGCCAAUCCACUUGAUUGUUGGACAGGCAAGAUAUUUAUUCUCCCAUGACAAUGCCGAAGAUCCAUAUCUAGAUGUAAAAUUGUAAUAGUGAAUCGGUUUUUUAUGAAAAUUCUUUUGUAGAACAUGAUUAAUGAAAACUCGUCAUUUAAAAAUGUU